AUUGAACGCUGGCGGCAUGCCUUACACAUGCAAGUCGAACGGCAGCACGGGUGCUUGCACCUGGUGGCGAGUGGCGAACGGGUGAGUAAUACAUCGGAACGUACCUUAUCGUGGGGGAUAACGCAGCGAAAGCUGUGCUAAUACCGCAUACGCCCUGAGGGGGAAAGCGGGGGAUCGAAAGACCUCGCGCGAUUAGAGCGGCCGAUGCCUGAUUAGCUUGUUGGUGGGGUAAAAGCCCACCAAGGCGACGAUCAGUAGCUGGGCUGAGAGGACGUGCAGCCACACGGGGACUGAGACAAGGCACAGACUCCUACGGGAGGCAGCAGUGGGGAAUUUUGGACAAUGGGGGCAACCCUGAUCCAGCAAUGCCGCGUGAGUGAAGAAGGCCUUCGGGUUGUAAAGCUCUUUUGUCAGGGAAGAAACACCGGCUCUAACACAGUCCGGGAAUGACGGUACCUGAAGAAUAAGCACCGGCUAACUACGUGCCAGCCGCCGCGGUAA
rnacentral:rRNA from 1 species